rnacentral:tRNA from 1 species
AGCCGCCGCAACCGGCCGGCACCGCGGCCGGCGCGCUCGAGGCGGGCCCACAGCAGGGCGAGGUGGCGGUGGAGAUCGCCGCCACAGGCGGUUUC